GUUCUCCUGAGCCUGACUGCUUACAGUGAGGUUCUGUCAGAGCCAUUCUGGGUGGUUUCAUGCUUCUGGUGAUGGCGCUCGCAGAACUGCACUGACUGCUUUGCUUCCCU
ensembl:miRNA gga-mir-6689 gga-mir-6689